GACGAACGCUGGCGGCGUGCUUAACACAUGCAAGUCGAGCGGUAAGGCCUUCGGGUACACGAGUGGCGAACGGGUGAGUAACACGUGGGUGAUCUGCCCCCUACUCUGGGAUAAGCCUGGGAAACUGGGUCUAAUACCGGAUAUGACCUCCUUCUGCAUGGUUGGGGGUGGAAAGUUUGUUCGGUAGGGGAUGAGCCCGCGGCCUAUCAGCUUGUUGGUGGGGUAGUGGCCUACCAAGGCGACGACGGGUAGCCGGCCUGAGAGGGCGACCGGCCACACUGGGACUGAGACACGGCCCAGACUCCUACGGGAGGCAGCAGUGGGGAAUAUUGCACAAUGGGCGAAAGCCUGAUGCAGCGACGCCGCGUGGGGGAUGACGGCCUUCGGGUUGUAAACCCCUUUCAGUCGGGACGAAGCGAGAGUGACGGUACCGAUAGAAGAAGCACCGGCCAACUACGUGCCAGCAGCCGCCGCUGUAA
rnacentral:rRNA from 1 species